rnacentral:rRNA from 1 species
UACGUAGGGGGCAAGCGUUAUCCGGAAUUACUGGGUGUAAAGGGUGAGUAGGCGGCAUGGUAAGCCAGAUGUGAAAGCCUUGGGCUUAACCCGAGGAUUGCAUUUGGAACUAUCAAGCUAGAGUACAGGAGAGGAAAGCGGAAUUCCUAGUGUAGCGGUGAAAUGCGUAGAUAUCAGGAGGAACACCGGUGGCGAAGGCGGCCUGCUGGACUGCAACUGACGUUGAGGCCCGAAAGCGUGGGGAGCAAACAGG